rnacentral:lncRNA from 1 species
CCACAGUCAUAGUUAGUGGAUGAGGGGCUGAAAUCUGAAGCUAGGAAGUUCUGACUUCGGAGCCCCCACUUUAACCGGCAUCUGAUGCCAUCAUUCCACUUGGUCAGGCAACACUCAAUUUACCCACUUUCCUUUGUUAACUGAGUCUUCUCAUCUUUUAAAGAGAUUCAUCACAGUUAUCUGGGUAUGACACUGCGCAAGAUUCAGAACAGUCUUCACUUCGUGGAAAAUCAGAUCCAGGACCUUCUGUCUCAGUAGAGACAAGAGUACUCUCAUCAGGGAAAUGCAAAUCAAAAUCACCAUGAGAGAUCACCUCAUACUUGUCAAGAUGGCUAUCAUCAAAAAGAAUCUACAAUGGCUUUCCAUGGAUGAUGACAAGAACAUAACUGGGAUACCAAGUUGCUGAUUCCUCUGAUGGUGGGAACAGAAGAAUGUUGCCCAGAAUUGGCACAGAAGGGUCCCAAUUCAUUCCAUCAAUAAUAUUCACUUAGGUUGUCUUUCCUCCAUCCUUGAAGUCAGAUCUUCCUUCCUGCUUUAUUCAUGGAACAAUCAGUGGGCAACUGUCUUGUAAACUGAGACUGCAGGAGCCACACAGCUCCUUUCCUUUGAUUAUCUUGAAGACGUGGCAGAAACACAGACUUUCUGGCCCUGCUUGAAAAAAAAGGUCUUUACUAGUUUCAAUCUUUUGGAAAAUAAUUUUAGAUUAAAACAACUCAUGAUGAC